GACGUCACGCAGCCCCAGCAGAGCGCGGGUGGGUUUUAACCGCCGCGGAACGCCCUGCGAAGGGACCCGCCACGACGUGGGCUGAGGAGAGGGAAACGUGAUCUCUAGCCAUGGCGGAGGGGGAGAGGCCGAGGCCGCUCCUCCGGCUGGUGCAGGAAGGACGGCUGGACCUCCUCCGGGAUGAGCUGCGGCCGGACGAUGCGCUGGUCCCAGCAGUGCGGAGCCAGCGCUAUGGGCGCUCGGGGGACACGCUGCUGCACCACGCUGCCCGAUACGGGCACCGGGACGUCCUCGCCUACCUGGUAGAGGUGCUGGGGAUGGACAUUGAGGCGUUUAAUAGCGACUACAAAAGACCCCUCCACGAAGCGGCCUCCAUGGGCCAUGGGGAGUGUGUCUCCUACCUCCUGGAGAGAGGCGCAAGCGUAGACUGCUUGAAAAAGGCAGACUGGACUCCCCUAAUGAUGGCUUGCACCAGGCAAAACCUGGAGGUGAUCAAAGCUCUUGUGGAGCAUGGAGCCAACCCACUGCUGAAGAAUAAGGAUGGCUGGAAUUGCUUCCACAUCGCGAGCCGUGAGGGCCAUCCCCAGGUCCUCCGGUACCUGCUGGACAUGUCCCCGAGCAGCUGGGACACAGAGAGCACAAUUAAGAGAACGCCUCUGCACACAGCAGCAAUGCACGGCUGUUUUGACAUUGUGGAGCUGCUCCUGGAGCGGUGCCAGUACAAACCUGACAGCAGAGACAAAUGUGGAGUCACUCCCUUUAUGGAUGCUAUCCAGAACGGGCACGUCAACAUUGCCCGGCUGCUCCUGGAAAAACACCAGGCCUGUCCUUCAGCCGUGGAUGUGCUGGGCGCUCAACCUCUGCACCGGGCAGCCGUCACGGCCCAGGAUGAAGCCAUCCAGUUCCUCGUCUCCAAGCUGGGUGUUGAUGUCAACGAGAGAGCAACGGCCCUCCAACUCACAGCACUGCACUACGCAGCCAAGGAAGGACACGCACACACCAUCCAGACACUGCUGUCCCUUGGCGCUGAUGUCCAUGCAAAGGAUGGGAAGAGCCGUUCUGCCCUGCACGCAGCGUGCGCUGGGCAGCAGGCGGACGCCGCGCGGAUCCUGCUCCGUGCUGGGCUGCAAGAUGCCCCGGAUAGCACGGGCACGCUGGCGCGGCAGCUUGCGAGGAAGCCAGAUGUCAUCCAGGUUUUCCAGGAUACAAAUGUCAGCGCGUGAGACCAACUGGGAAAAAAGAGAAACACGUUUCAUUUCAACGUGCACCCGGCACGUCCAAACAGCUGAGGCUGCAGCUCCUUGAAGUAUAACUAUCCAGGGAAGGUGCCCCAUGGGCUGGAUGACCUCUGGGGACCUGCAUGGCUUGAACCCCUUGGAGCCUGCCUAGCCCUUGCUGGUGAUGUUUCCAUACAGUGGACAUCCUGAAGGAGAAGAUACACCUGGAGCGUUCAUUUUUAUAGCCCUUAAUGGACCUGCUCUCCACUAAUCUCUGAAGUUCCUUCAAGUGGCCACUUCUUUCUAUAGCCCCUGAGAGAGGCUGCGUGCGGUGCAGUGUAAGUGAACCCUGGGUGACUCUUCCUUCAUCAGGUUUGAGCUGCAGAGGACAAGUGCAGGGAGUCUUCAAGCUGCAUCAACCUCUUACGUCCUUUUUGUGGCCCAAGGCUGCUGCCAAAGCCUGCUGAAAUCAGUAGUAAGACCUCAACCUUGCGACGACGUCAAGGGUCUUUGGAUCAGACUAAAAAAAGAGGUAUUUGUUAUUCCAGACAGCCUUGCAUGGCACUUCUCGCCACUGAUGAACUUUAAAAAAAAAAAAUGUGCUCUUUGAAGUGUAUAGGGAAAUGGCUUAAUAUUUAAUGUAGCCAGUAAGCCUCUAACAGCCUGGAAUACACAUAAAGGCAAUAAAAAGACGCACGGAAACAAACUGGCUGUUGUUAAUGCAGAUGAUCAGGUACAAAAGGACGUUAGAGAAGGAACAUGGAUUCAGCUUUAUGCCUGCAAAAUUAGCCAGGGGAAGAGACCUUGCUGUCUUUCUUGCUGUUUUUGCUGUUUCUUACUCACUGCAAGACGUCUCACAUGGAGAAACGGUGCGGGCGCCUGGUCCCCGGGGAGGAAGCCCAGGAGCUGGGCUCCGUGCCACGUGGCGCUGAAGGCAGUUUGGAGCGGAGCCCGGGAGCCGGCACACGGCUUCGGCACUGUCCUGUUAUGCCACCUCUUCCACCCUUGGCACCGGUGCUUGCCGGGGGCCCUGCAAAUGCUCCUGGUCCUGCAGCCGCAGAGAAGACCUUGUGCCUUCGUCCUGUAGGAUGUGGCUGAGAUACAGUCACGGUAAGUAGAAGCGUCUGGGUAGGUAGGAAAUAAUGUUGCAAAUGCUGUCAGGGUUUGCUGGGAAACCUUACAGGAAGGGAAGGCAUUUUGUUUUUAAAUAAAACUGA